GUUAGAGGAGGCAGGUAGCCUAUUGGUUAGAGGAGGCAGGUAGCCUGGUGGUUAGAGGAGGCAGGUAGCCUGGUGGUUAGAGGAGGCAGGUAGCCUAGUGGUUAGAGGAGACAGGUAGCCUGGUGGUUAGAGGAGACAGGUAGCCUGGUGGUUAGAGGAGGCAGGUAGCCUGGUGGUUAGAGGAGGCAGGUAGCCUGGUGGUUAGAGGAGGCAGGUAGCCUGGUGGUUAGAGGAGACAGGUAGCCUGGUGGUUAGAGGAGGCAGGUAGCCUGGUGGUUAGAGGAGGCAGGUAGCCUGGUGGUUAGAGGAGGCAGGUAGCCUGGUGGUUAGAGGAGACAGGUAGCCUGGUGGUUAGAGGAGACAGGUAGCCUGGUGGUUAGAGGAGGCAGGUAGCCUGGUGGUUAGAGGAGGCAGGUAGCCUGGUGGUUAGAGGAGGC